rnacentral:rRNA from 1 species
AUUGAACGCUGGCGGCAUGCUUUACACAUGCAAGUCGAACGGUAACAGGCCUUCGGGUGCUGACGAGUGGCGAACGGGUGAGUAAUGCAUCGGAACGUACCCAGAGGUGGGGGAUAACGCAGCGAAAGCUGUGCUAAUACCGCAUGUGAUCUGAGGUUGAAAGCGGGGGACCGCGCAGCAAUGUUUGGCCUCGCGCCUUUGGAGCGGCCGAUGUCGGAUUAGCUAGUUGGUGGGGUAAAGGCCUACCAAGGCGACGAUCCGUAGCUGGUCUGAGAGGACGACCAGCCACACUGGGACUGAGACACGGCCCAGACUCCUACGGGAGGCAGCAGUGGGGAAUUUUGGACAAUGGGCGCAAGCCUGAUCCAGCAAUGCCGCGUGCGGGAAGAAGGCCUUCGGGUUGUAAACCGCUUUUGGCAGGAACGAAACGGUGUCCGCUAAUACCGGGCGCUAAUGACGGUACCUGCAGAAUAAGCACCGGCUAACUACGUG